rnacentral:rRNA from 1 species
GACGAACGCUGGCGGCGUGCUUAACACAUGCAAGUCGAACGCAGUGGCGAACGGUUGAGUAAUACGUGGGUCACCUGCCCUCCUUUUUGGGAUAAGCCUUGGAAACGGGGUCUAAUACCGAAUAAAGGGGGAUGGGCUCGCGGCCUAUCAGCUUGUUGGUGGGGUGAUGGCCUACCAAGGCGGUGACGGGUAGCCGGCCUGAGAGGGUGACCGGCAAAAUGGGGACUGGGAUACGGCCAGGACUCCUACGGAGGGCAGCAGUGGGGGAUAUUGCAAAAUGGGCGAAAGCCGGAUGCAGCGACGCCGCGUGUGUGAAGAGGGUCUUCGGAUUGUAAAGCACUUUAAGUUGGGAGGCGGUACCAACAGAAUAAGCACCGGCUAACUUCGUGCCAGCAGCCGCGGUAAUAC